rnacentral:rRNA from 1 species
ACGAACGCUGGCGGCGUGCUUAACACAUGCAAGUCGAACGAGAAUCUGCGGAAAGAGGAUUCGUCCAAUUGAAGCAGAGGACAGUGGCGGACGGGUGAGUAACGCGUGAGGAACCUGCCUUUCAGAGGGGGACAACAGUUGGAAACGACUGCUAAUACCGCAUAACAUAUAAAUGUCGCAUGGCAUUUAUAUCAAAGAUUUAUCGCUGAAAGAUGGCCUCGCGUCUGAUUAGCUAGUUGGUGAGGUAACGGCCCACCAAGGCGACGAUCAGUAGCCGGACUGAGAGGUUGAACGGCCACAUUGGGACUGAGAUACGGCCCAGACUCCUGCGGGAGGCAGCAGUGGGGAAUAUUGGGCAAUGGGCGCAAGCCUGACCCAGCAACGCCGCGUGAAGGAAGAAGGCUUUCGGGUUGUAAACUUCUUUUGUCAGGGACGAGUAGAAGACGGUACCUGACGAAUAAGCCACGGCUAACUACGUGCCAGCAGCCGCGGUAAUACGUAGGUGGCAAGCGUUGUCCGGAUUUACUGGGUGUAAAGGGCGUGUAGCCGGGAGGGCAAGUCAGAUGUGAAAUCCACGGGCUCAACUCGUGAACUGCAUUUGAAACUACUCUUCUUGAGUAUCGGAGAGGCAAUCGGAAUUCCUAGUGUAGCGGUGAAAUGCGUAGAUAUUAGGAGGAACGCCAGUGGCGAAGGCGGAUUGCUGGACGACAACUGACGGUGAGGCGCGAAAGCGUGGGGAGCAAACAGGAUUAGAUACCCUGGUAGUCCACGCUGUAAACGAUGAAUACUAGGUGUGCGGGGACUGACCCCCUGCGUGCCGCAGCUAACGCAAUAAGUAUUCCACCUGGGGAGUACGAUCGCAAGGUUGCAACUCAAAGGAAUUGACGG